UGCUACGGCCAUGCUACCCUGAACAAGUCCGAUCCCAUCUGAUCUCAGAAGCUAACCAGGGUUGGGCCUGGUUAGUACUUGGAUGGGAGAACACCUAGGAAGACCGGGUACUGUAGGCA
rnacentral:rRNA from 1 species